AUUGAACGCUGGCGGCAGGCCUAACACAUGCAAGUCGAGCGGAUGAAGGGAGCUUGCUCCUGGAUUCAGCGGCGGACGGGUGAGUAAUGCCUAGGAAUCUGCCUGGUAGUGGGGGAUAACGUCCGGAAACGGGCGCUAAUACCGCAUACGUCCUGAUGGAGAAAGUGGGGGAUCUUCGGACCUCACGCUAUCAGAUGAGCCUAGGUCGGAUUAGCUAGUUGGUGGGGUAAAGGCCUACCAAGGCGACGAUCCGUAACUGGUCUGAGAGGAUGAUCAGUCACACUGGAACUGAGACACGGUCCAGACUCCUACGGGAGGCAGCAGUGGGGAAUAUUGGACAAUGGGCGAAAGCCUGAUCCAGCCAUGCCGCGUGUGUGAAGAAGGUCUUCGGAUUGUAAAGCACUUUAAGUUGGGAGGAAGGGCAGUAAGUUAAUACCUUGCUGUUUUAACGUUACCAACAGAAUAAGCACCGGCUAACUUCGUG
rnacentral:rRNA from 1 species